rnacentral:rRNA from 1 species
AGAAUGAACGCUGGCGGCAUGGAUUAGGCAUGCAAGUCGAACGAUAAGCUCCAGCUUGCUGGAGUGGAAAGUGGCGAAAGGGUGAGUAACACGUGGGAAUCUGCCCCCAAGUUCGGAAUAGCCCGUGGAAACGCGGUUUAAUACCGAAUGUGGUUUAGCGACUAAAGAUUUAUCGCUUGGGGAUGAGCCCGCGGCCCAUCAGCUAGUUGGCGGGGUAAUGGCCCACCAAGGCGACGACGGGUAGGUGGUCUGAGAGGAUGGUCACCCACACUGGGACUGAGACACUGCCCAGACUCCUACGGGAGGCUGCAGUCGAGAAUCAUCCGCAAUGGGCGAAAGCCUGACGGUGCAAUGCCGCGUGAGGGACGAAGGCCUUCGGGUCGUAAACCUCUGUCAGAGGGGACGAAAUUUGACGGUACCCUCAGAGGAAGCCACGGCUAACUACGUGCCAGCAGCCGCGGUAAUACGUAGGUGGCGAGCGUUAUUCGGAUUCACUGGGCGUAAAGGGUCCGCAGGGGGUUUGCCAAGUCUGGUGUGAAAUCCCGCGGCUCAACCGCGGAACUGCGCUGGAUACUGGCGAACUAGAGUAUGUCAGGGCAAGCGGAAUUCCAGGUGUAGCGGUGGAAUGCGUAGAUAUCUGGAAGAACACCGACGGCGAAGGCGGCUUGCUGGGACAUUACUGACCCUCAUGGACGAAAGCGUGGGUAGCAAACAGGAUUAGAUACCCUGGUAGUCCACGCUGUAAACGGUGUACACUCGAUGGCGGGGGAUUGGCCCUUUCGCUGUCCAAACUAACGCGUUAAGUGUACCGCCUGGGGACUACGGCCGCAAGGCUAAAACUCAAAGGAAUUGACGGGAGCCCGCACAAGCGGUGGAGCAUGUGGCUUAAUUCGAGGCAACGCGAAGAACCUUACCUGGGCUUGACAUCGAUCGCCCCCCUGUGAAAGCAGGGUUCUCUUCGGAGACGUGAAGACAGGUGCUGCAUGGCUGUCGUCAGCUCGUGCCGUGAGGUGUUCGGUUAAGUCCGGCAACGAGCGCAACCCACAUGGCCAGUUACCAGCGGAUAAUGCCGGGGACUCUGGUCAGACUGCCCGUGUUAAGCGGGAGGAAGGCGUGGAUGACGUCAAGUCAGUAUGGCCCUUACGCCCAGGGCUGCACACGUGCUACAAUGGUCGGUACAAUGGGACGCGAAGUCGCGAGGCGGAGCAAAUCCCCAAAGCCGGCCCCAGUUCGGAUUGGAGUCUGCAACUCGACUCCAUGAAGUCGGAAUCGCUAGUAAAGGCGUAUCAGCAACGACGCCUUGAAUCCGUUCCCGGGCUUUGUACACACCGCCCAUCACAUCAUGGAAGCUGGCCGCACCCGAAGUCCGUGGCCCGACCCGCAAGGGAGGGAGCGGCCGAAGGUGUGUCUAGUAACUGGGAUGAAGUCGAAACAAGGUA